rnacentral:rRNA from 1 species
AUUGAACGCUGGCGGCAUGCUUUACACAUGCAAGUCGAACGGCAGCGCGGGCUUCGGCCUGGCGGCGAGUGGCGAACGGGUGAGUAAUGCAUCGGAACGUGCCCAGUAGUGGGGGAUAGCCCGGCGAAAGCCGGAUUAAUACCGCAUACGACCUGAGGGUGAAAGCGGGGGACCGAAAGGCCUCGCGCUAUUGGAGCGGCCGAUGUCGGAUUAGCUAGUUGGUGGGGUAAAGGCUUACCAAGGCGACGAUCCGUAGCUGGUCUGAGAGGACGACCAGCCACACUGGGACUGAGCCACGGCCCAGACUCCUACGGGAGGCAGCAGUGGGGAAUUUUGGACAAUGGGGGCAACCAUGAUCCAGCCAUGCCGCGUGCGGGAAGAAGGCCUUCGGGUUGUAAACCGCUUUUGUUCGGGAAGAAAUCCUCUGGGCUAAUACCCCGGGGGGAUGACGGUACCGGCAGAAUAAGCACCGGCUAACUACGUG